GUGUGUGCCAGUCCUUGGAAGUUUUUGGGGUCCACCAAAGGACCCCGAGGUCCAAGUACCUGCUGUGCUGUUGAAGAUUAUCCUGCUCUGAGAGGCAGAAUGGACUAGACACACCCAGAGAUCCUUUUCAUGGAAUGGUGGAAUAACCCCAGUCAGAAGGGACCCACAAAGGUCACUGAGUCCAGCUCCCGGUCAGGACACCCCAACAAUCCCACCCUGGGCCUUUUCCAGGAGCUUUCUCUCAGAACAGGCCAAGAAACCCUCAGGCACCCCCUUUCCAUAGCCCUCUGGGCUUUCCUGGGGCACCAGCUCAAAUGGAUGGAGGUAUCAGUCCAUAAUUUAUUGCCUGGAGCCCCCCACCUCUCCAGCUUCAUCCCCAAGGUGCCGUGGCUUCCUGUGGUCCUGGGGCACAGCUGAGGUGGCUGCAGCUCCCCUCGUCCCUCCUUGACCCCCCCACCUUGGCUGUGGCUCCACAAGUCCCUGGCAGGAGGUACAGUGAGGGGGUGCCAGUCUCUUCCCCCAGUGACAGGAUGAGAGGAAAUGGCCUCAGGUUGAGUCAGGGAAGGUUUAGAUUGGAUAUGAGGGAACAUUUCUGCAUGGUGAGGGAUGUCAGGCACUGGGAUGGGCUGCCCAGGGCCCAGGUGGAGUCACCAUCCCUGGAAGUGUUCACAAAACAACUUGAGCAUGUGGGUUGGAGGUGAAUGUGGUGGUUGGGGGAUGGUUGGGCUUCACAACCACAAAGUUCCAUUCCAACCUCAAUGGUUCCAUGGCUCUGUGACCUCAGCAAAGUUUGUUCCAUGUCCCACAACCAGCCUGCAGAGCUGGGGCUUGAAUUCUGCUCCUGGAAAGAGUGGAGGAGCCUGCAGUGCCCUGAGCCAGAGCUGGGUGCAGGAUGUUCCUUUGGAAUCAGCUGGAGGAUCCCAAUGCCAUCACCUUAUGGAGCUCAGGCUUUGGUGGUUCAGACACUCUGGGAACACGCUGCUCUUGAAUUAAAUACAUGUUACAGCAAAGAAUCAGCGGGGGAAAGGAGGGAUCACUUGAAAAUCCAUUUCACUGCUUCCCAGCAAAAUAAAGGAGUUGGAAAAUAUUGCAGACAACUCUUCUGAGGUGCCCAGAUUGGAAUCAGCCUCUCCAAUGGCACGGAAUGUUUCUCACCAGAAGAAAACCCUGCCUGCUCGUGACCUUUGUG
rnacentral:lncRNA from 12 species